rnacentral:rRNA from 1 species
GAGAGUUAAAUAGUACGUGAAAUUGUUGAAAGGGAAACGAUUGAAGCCAGUCGUACCUAUGGGUAAUCAGCCUUUUGGGUGUGAUUUUGUGGAGCGUGAGGAGUUAAACGCCUUCAUGCCUGCAUAUUCGUGCACUUUGGGUGUACUUGCCCGUAUGGUUGGUUAACAUCAAUUUUGGUGGUCAUAAAAUGACUGGAGGAAUGUAGCUUCGAUCUCGUAUUGAAGUGUUAUAGCCUUCGGUAGAUGUGAUGAUCGAGAUUGAGGAUUGCAACGGAUACCCUUCGGGGCUACCUGUCUGAUCUCUGAUCGUUGCUCUGGUGCUGAAAGCUUGCUUAUGGUUAUCAAAGUCGAUGGUCAAUAGGUUAGAAUGGGUUAAAUUCGUUAAGGAUGUUGACGUAAUGGCUUUAAACGA